UUUAUUUAUUAACAACAUUUAUAUGCCCCCAAUAUAGGGUUGGUUGAGAAAUUUGAUUUGGCUUGCAUUCCACAUCGCAGAAAUGAGGAUACAAAAGGUGCCUGCAUGAGGAAGGAGCUUUCACCACUAACUACCUGUCCUAUUUCACUUGGUGGACACACCUGAAGGAGGACUUCUUAAGAUGUUCUCAUCAUCCAUUGGAAGAUUAAGCAGGAGCCUUGAAGCUGCCCAUCGACGUAAGUGCCUGGAUAUCUAGCAGCACUGAGCAGGCACAAAGGUCACCUGCUCACAGUCCUCCCUACUAUGAUUUUUGCAGAAACAGGAUGGAGGGGACUAAUGGAUGAACAUGAAUGCAAAACUGACAUGGACUGAAAAUAGCCUGAUCUGUCUAUCACUAGACAAUAGAUUUUCAAGGAAAAAAUGGCUUCUCACAGAAUGGGAUUAUGAACAGAGGACCAACACUUGAAGAAUCCAAGAAAAGGCUUGCGCUAUUAAGGCUGAACAUGUUGAAAAAUGAGCUGGGAAUGAAGUGAGAGAGUGGUGAGGAAGAAUGACAUGCACUCCUUCAGACAGCAAGGGGAAUCACAACUUUUUAAUGAUCUUGAAAGUGCUGGGGGCAAAAAAUAGUCAUGGAUGCAGAAACGUAUCACAGCAAGGGAAAGAGAUGGACUAGAACCUUUUGUCACCGACAUUCUAACUUUUUACCAUCAGAAAGUUGGGUGUGCCUUUAUCUUUAAUGUGCAGAGGCAUUAAAAAAAGUAUUCCUCCUCUGUAGUGUCAAGUGGUACAGUCCAUUUUAACACUCUUCCAUCUCAUUCCUACUCCAUUCUGCUGCAUGUGCAAAUGUAUCCUAACACCUCUUGGAUUUGAAUGUCUAACCUACUUGGUUUUACUCCAGUUCUUAAUCAAUGCUGGACAAAGUACCACAACAGAAAAUCCAGCCACCCAUGCAGCAAGUUUGCAUUGUACCUCUAGCUGGAUGACCAAGAGGUUGCAUGUUUGCUCCAUCACUGUGGCCAGAUACAAUUUCAGCCUGCGGUUAGUUGCACAGAAAAAGUUUCUUAUCUUAUUGCAAGCUGAAAAAUGAUCUGGCAGCAUGGCAGAACCAUCAUAUGACAAUGUGGCUUCAUGGCCAGCUGCACUGCACAGUGAGCUAUCUGGCUUGGGCGCAUUAGUGCAUAGUCUUGACUAUACCAUGGAAGACUGGGAGCAAAUCUUUAUUUUGAAUUCUUUUUCACUGUGGACUUUUUAAGAACAACAUUUGGGAAUGGUUAAAAACCACUCUGCUCUAAAUCUCACAGCCACAGGAAUUCCAAGUAAAAGUUACUUCCUUCUUUCUCUUUGUAGAAACAAAGAAUAAAUGUCAGCCAA